rfam:Tupaia chinensis contig173681, whole genome shotgun sequence.
GCUCGCUCUGGCAGUGCACAUCCUAAAGUUGAAGAAACAGAAAGAUUAGCAGCGCCCUUGUGCAGAGAUGACACGCAAAUUCAUGAAGCAUUCCAGAUUUUU